rnacentral:rRNA from 1 species
CCUACGGGAGGCAGCAGUGAGGAAUAUUGGUCAAUGGGCGCGAGCCUGAACCAGCCAAGUCGCGUGGGGGAAGACGGCCCUACGGGUUGUAAACCUCUUUUGCCGGGGAGCAACGGGCGCCACGUGUGGCGCCACUGCGAGUAACCGGAGAACAAGCAUCGGCAAACUCCGUGCCAGCAGCCGCGGUAAUAGGGAGGAUGCGAGCGUUAUCCGGAUUGAUUGGGUUUAAGGGGUGCGUGGGCGGAGCGUUAAGUCAGUGGCAAAAUUGAGGGGCUCAACCCCUUCCCGCCAUUGAAACUGGCGCUCUUGAGUGGAAGAGAGGUAUGCGGAAUGCGUGGUGUAGCGGUGAAAUGCAUAGAUAUCACGCAGAACCCCGAUUGCGAAGGCAGCAUGCCGGCUUCCGACUGACGCUGAAGCACGAAAGCGUGGGGAUCGAACAGGAUUAGAUACCCUUGUAGUC